GUUGAACGCUGGCGGCAGGCCUAACACAUGCAAGUCGAGCGGUAGCACAGAGAGCUUGCUCUCGGGUGACGAGCGGCGGACGGGUGAGUAAUGUCUGGGAAACUGCCUGAUGGAGGGGGAUAACUACUGGAAACGGUAGCUAAUACCGCAUAAUGUCGCAAGACCAAAGUGGGGGACCUUCGGGCCUCAUGCCAUCAGAUGUGCCCAGAUGGGAUUAGCUAGUAGGUGGGGUAACGGCACACCUAGGCGACGAUCCCUAGCUGGUCUGAGAGGAUGACCAGCCACACUGGAACUGAGACACGGUCCAGACUCCUACGGGAGGCAGCAGUGGGGAAUAUUGCACAAUGGGCGCAAGCCUGAUGCAGCCAUGCCGCGUGUGUGAAGAAGGCCUUCGGGUUGUAAAGCACUUUCAGCGGGGAGGAAGGCGUUAAGGUUAAUAGCCUUGGCGAUUGACGUUACCCGCAGAAGAAGCACCGGCUAACUCCGUGCCAGCCGCCGCAGUAA
rnacentral:rRNA from 1 species